CAGAGCCGGGCAUCGGGGCGGGGCGCUGCGGGCAAGGGCGCGGGCACCUUCCCCGGCCUGGGAAGCACCUUCUCGACCUGCGGCCGACGGGGGCUUCCAGGCGGCUCCGGGGCCCGGAGAAGCUGGGUGCCGGGGCUGGGGGCUCUGCGCCCGGACAGCUGGGCCGAUCUGCAGAGGGGACCCUGGAGGGGGUGCAUGUGUCCCGGGGUGGACCGCUCCCCUCCCCUCCCCCUGGGAUUCCCUCCCCCAAAUCCAGGUUUCUCCCGUGGAUGGAGGUUCUUGGGAGUCUACUGAAAAGGAAACUAAGGGGUGGACAAGAGUUGGAAUGUGCCCGAAAUAUUUGGCUCUCGUGUGUGCUGCUUUCUGAACUGGCUCAGUACCAAAAGUUCUCAGCACCGUAAGGGGUACCGGGGUUGUGGGAUAGGGUGGUCAUCAGUGUGUUUCUUAUUAGGAGAGGCUGUUUCUGUAUAGGUAGCAACAGCGUUUCCUUUCUAAGGGCAUGGUUUUACCCUUAGUACAUUUCUGUAUCUAUAAAAGUCAGCUGUUAGAACAGGAGGGUACUGUAUUUAGCAACAAACCAUGUUGAGGUUGUCAUUUCUAAUCCCACGUGUGGCAGAUUUUCCGGUAGUAAGUAUAUACUAGGUAUCGUUUACAGUGUUUGUGUCUCUAGAGUUGUUUUGGGUCCAGGAUUUUUCAGUGGUCUUAGUCAUGAACGAUUCUUAUACUGCUUUAAAUCUACUGUAAUCUUGGCAGCCACCUUUACAUGAUUUUUCAAAUAUAACUCUCGGUGCCUUGAAACUGUGCUCUGGUGCCAGUUUCCACAGAGCCUUCUAUACUUCCUUUUUCCCGCCUGAUUUGGCAGCUGAAGAAUUCCCUUUCAGGAACUGACAGGAGAUACCCUUCCUGGACUGCCAGCAGGGCAGCUAGAGACUGGGAGGUUGGCACAAUCCCUACGCUGGGUCUGUUGUUUUAACUCACAGAUGUCCUGAGAAUUUUACCUUUCGUUGUGACUUUCCACAGGACGAAUAUUUUGAGCACCGUCAUCUAAAUGAAUUGCCGAUACUGAUUUCAUUAACCUUCAGGACCUCGCUUUUAAUUUUUUCUUUUUUAAGAGACAGGGUCUUACUGUAUUGUCCAGGCUGGACUCCCAACUCCUGGGCUCAAAUGACCCUCCGGCCUGCCUCCCAAGUAGCUAGGACUACCGGCACAUGCCACCUUGCCCAGCUAGGACCUGGGUUUUAAAAGGCCAUUUCUUCACUAAAACAAUUUUACUUGUUUUUGAACUAUUCAAACUUGAUUUUUAAAAACCUGGUAACAAAGCCUGUCCAGAUUGCAUAUUUGAAGUCUGUUUUGAAGGUUUUCACACUUGGUGAAACUCUUCACAUAAAGCCCAAUUCUAGCUUUGCAGGUUUGCAUUUCCUUUUUUUUUUUUUUUUUUUUAAAAAAAGAAUUUUUCUGCGAAAAUCCUUUAAAAAGAAAAAAAAGCUUUAUACAGCUGGGCACAGUGACUCACGCCUGUAAUCCCACCACUUUGGGAGGCUGAGGAGGGUGGAUCACUUCAAGUCAGAAGUUCAAGACCAGCCUGGCCAACAUAAUGAAACUCCGUCUCUACUGAAAAUACAAAAAUUAGCCGGCCAUGGUGGCGUGCACCUACAAUCCCGGCUACUCAGGAGGCUGAGGCACGAGAAUCACUUGAAGCUAGGAGGCAGAGGUUACGCAUCCACUGUGUUAGGUGCUACAGCUACCAAGGUGAGUAAGAUAGUCCCUGCUCUCAGAUACCUUACAGUCUAAUUAGGGCAUCAGCAGAAGAUUCAAAACAGUUUUUAUGUGCCUUUAAAAAAAAUCAAGUCCUCAUAAAAGCUAAGAAGAUGGUCUUGCGUCCUGAUUCAGUGGUGAUAUUUCUAUGGGGAGCUAAGGUUAUAGUCGAGUGCAUUAGUCCCUAAUCUAAUUCAGAACAAGAAUCAAACUUUGGGAACUGAGAUGAAAGGGUAUCUAACAGCCCCCUAGUCAGUCUUUCUCAGAUACCACUCCUCUCACCUGUCCUUUAUAAGAAUUGAAUAGCCCUUAGUUCAUGAAAGGGGGGAAUGAUGAGAGUCUCAAGUACUCGUCUUCUGUGCUGCUGAUGGAAAAGACAGUCUUUAUAUUUCAGAUGGCCUGGCAGCAGUGUUAGCAUUGUUAGAAAAAUCUAAAAGCUAGAUACUUGUUUAUUUAUACCUGGUCUCAUUCCACAAGGGAUUUGUGGAGUGUGAUUCAGUAUAAUAUAAAUACAUAAGCAAAUAAAUAAAAGCCUGGCUUUUGUUUUCAUUCUAUUACAAGGCUACACAGAGGUGGGCUGAAAGAGCAUUUAUUCCCCAG
rnacentral:lncRNA from 1 species